CUGGCUUAAAAGUAUUUUAGAGGGCAAGGCAGGGCUGGGCUCAGUGGCUCACCCCUGUAAUCCUGGCACUUUGGAAGGCUGAGGUGGGAUGUUCCCUUGAGGCUAGGAGUUCAAGACCAGUCUGGGCAACACAGAGAGACCCUGUCUCUACUAAAAAACCAAAACAACACCAAAAAAAAAACCAUGUGGGUGUGGUGGCUCAUGCCUGUGGUCCCAGCUACCUGGGAGGCUGAGGCAGGAGGAUCGCUUGAGCCCAGCAAGUGAAGGCUGCAGUGAACCAUGAACGUGCCAUUGCACUGCAGCCUUGGCAACAGAGCAAGAGCCUCUCUUGAAAAACAAAACAAAAAACGACUUAAUCAAAAGAUAGCCAAUGAUGGGCAAAUAUAUAUGUAUAAUAAAAAUUUAAAACUUUUUUUCAUAUGUAUUUAAAAACUUUUUUCCCCUAGAAUCAGAACUACAAGGAUCAAUUAUCCCAGCUCAAUGACAGGGUUCUUCAACUGGGACAGGAGGCUUCUACCCACCAGACCCAAAACGAGGAGCAUCGUGUGACCAUUCAGCUGUUAACACAGAGCCUGGAGGAGGUGGCAUGCAGCUGGCAGCAGCAGAGUGACCAAAUCCAAAAACUUGAAGUUGAACUUGAACGCCUGAAUCAGGAAUGUCAGAGCAUGCGACUGUCACAGGCAGAGCUGACACAGACCCUUGAGGAAAGUCAAAGCCAGGUGCAGGGAGCUCACCUGAGGCUGAGGCAGGCCCAGGCCCAGCACUCACAGGAGGUCCGGCAGCUGCAGGAGCAGAUGGGUCAGCUGGUGC
rnacentral:lncRNA from 1 species